UCCGGAUUUAUUGGGUUUAAAGGGUGCGUAGGUGGGAUAAUAAGUCAGAGGUGAAAGCUAGCAGCUUAACUGUUAAAUUGCCUUUGAUACUGUUAUUCUUGAGUAUAGUUGGCGUUGGCGGAAUGUGACAUGUAGCGGUGAAAUGCGUAGAUAUGUCACAGAACACCGAUCGCGAAGGCAGCUAACGAAACUAUCACUGACAUUGAUGCACGAAAGCGUGGGGAGCAAACAGG
rnacentral:rRNA from 1 species